GACCGAGGGCGACACUAACGACGACAGCCCGCGUUCCCGCUGCAGCCGGAGCGGCGGCAUCACUCGCCCGUCCGCCUUACCUGACGCGUGGCGUCCCUCCGCCGCCGCCGCCGCCGUGUCCGGAGUUCACGGAUCCAGGUGGUUCCUCAGCAGCGCGAGCGAGCGCGGCAGCCCCGGCAGUGCCCUCCCGCCCCAACAGGUGGCUCGCGGAGAACCGCCAGGUUCACUUUUCUUCUUGUGAAAAGAAGCGUGUGCUCUAGUAGCUUUUUUUACAGAAGGUUUGUGAAGAUUUUAGACUGGAUUAAAUGGUUCCUAGCCAUGCUGGACCCAGAUGCAUCUUUCCUUGAUGUAUCUCCCGAGAGCAUUCUCCAAGUGAAAUCUUUGCAAUCAAUACCUCACCUAUAGCAAUCAACAUCGCACCUAUCCCUAUACUCAGGGGAGCUGAUUUGACACAGAGACCGUCAAGAAAAAUGAAAUAAUGAACUGAGAAACACAGAUCUGCAGUUGAGAAGGAAAGCUGAUCUAGGUUUUUGACAGAAUGUCCAACAAACUGAGAAAUUGGAAUUUUGAGGGGAAGAGAGGACUUCCUCUUUGAAGAACAGAGAGACCACAUUUGCACCCCUGUGUAUGAGAUUACACUUGUGAAGGUAAGGGAGGGAGACAGGUAGGUGAGUACUAAAGUUCAUUAUUAAUUAGAGCAGGCUUUGAACAAUUCUGAGAGACACAAGUCCUCAACUCUCUGCUGUUUAAUUUCAAAAUUUUAAUCAAGGGAGCAAAUAAAAUGGCUCUAUUGAAAAAUUGACCUUACUCUUUGCCAGAAACCCUCAAUUCUUGGAUAUGUGAUUCCUCUGAGGUUAAGUACGUUAUUUAAAUGAUAAGCAAAUGAAGUUACUUCCCUUCACUGUGAUCUGUAAACUGCCUUCCACUACUUCUUAGUCAUUCCCUGGGAAUAGUUCUCUUCUCUGGGUGGCUUUGUACCUCUUCUGUCUAAUGGCUCUGGCCAGCUGCUGUGAUGGGCUGCGUGGAGGGGAUGCGUAGAAUGAUUUCUUAUUUGGGGUGUGAACGGAAAGCAGCUUUUCCAUUAGGUGGGUCAGAUUAUUCAACACGAUUGUGAUUCCCGGGUCCAUUUAUGCUUCAGCUCCUCCACGGCCCACGUCCGCUCACGACCUUAGCAGGUUGGAACCUUUCCUUUGGAAGCACAGCCCAAAGAACACUGUCUUGAAAUCUGGCUCACAAAUUGCUUUCGAUGACCAGAACCAAGACCUCCCGCGUUGACUCGCUCUGGAUAUUUGCAGAAGAUAAUGAGAUUUAGGCCUUAUUCAUUUAUUGAAUACGAGCAUGGCCCACAGGCCAGAUCCUGCACAAGAAGCUGGGCCCCCACGACGGAGAGACCUGUCCUGAGUGCCCUCUUCCAGGUCUCACUCUGCACGCCCCUCUGCUACCCCCACUUCCCAACAGGCUUCCAGACAUGAAGAAACGGGUCUGCAAGGCUUAUGCGUGGGCACCGGGAGGGAGGCCUCUUGCUCGGAGCAGCAGGAGGAAGCUCGCUCACAAGGGCCCCUGAACCUGUGUUCUCGCCACGGGCCUGCAGAACCGCCGAGCGCUUCAAGCCUGAGUGUCAGGAAUUGCAAGAUGGUCCAUAAAGGAUUCGCUCAUGUUUCCUGUAUCCUGCUCACUCAGAAAGAAAAUCAUAUGCAUGUGAGUCCCAAGUCCUUAUCCUCCUCCCAAACCCGUUCCUCCCUCCCUAGGUCUUGGGUAACGACACCGGCACCAUGUGCUACCCAUGUCACCGCGCUGGCACCGCUUCCCCAGUCACGUCGAUGGCACCACCAAGCAUCUUCCAAUGCUUGGCUGCCAUCGCAGAGGCUCCUGCUCCCCCCCCCCCCCCCCCCCCCCC